rnacentral:tRNA from 1 species
UAGGUUGAAGUCCGAUGGUUUGGACGGCUAGCUGUUAAUUAGUUUUUUGUGGGAUCAAGGCCCAUCAACCUAG